AACGAACGCUGGCGGCAUGCCUAACACAUGCAAGUCGAACGAGACCUUCGGGUCUAGUGGCGCACGGGUGCGUAACACGUGGGAAUCUGCCCUUUGCUUCGGAAUAACAGUUAGAAAUGACUGCUAAUACCGGAUGAUGUCGAAAGACCAAAGAUUUAUCGGCAAAGGAUGAGCCCGCGUAGGAUUAGGUAGUUGGUGGGGUAAAGGCCUACCAAGCCGACGAUCCUUAGCUGGUCUGAGAGGAUGAUCAGCCACACUGGGAGUGAGACACGGCCCAGACUCCUGCGGGAAGCAGCAGUGGGGAAUAUUGGACAGUGGGCGAAGGGCUGAUCCAGCAAGGCCGCGUGAGUGAUGAAGGCCUUAGGGUAGUAAAGCACUUUUACCAGGGAUGAUAAUGACAGUACCUGGAGAAUAAGCACCGGCUAACUCCGUG
rnacentral:rRNA from 1 species